CAGCCGCCGCGGGAAUACGAAGGGGGCUAGCGUUGCUCGGAAUUACUGGGCGUAAAGGAAGCGUAGGCGGACAUUUAAGUCAGGGGUGAAAUCCCAGAGCUCAACUCUGGAACUGCCCUUGAUACUGGGUGUCUUGAGUGUGAUAGAGGUAUGUGGAACUCCGAGUGUAGAGGUGAAAUUCGUAGAUAUUCGGAAGAACACCAGUGGCGAAGGCGACAUACUGGAUCAUUACUGACGCUGAGGCUCGAAAGCGUGGGGAGCAAACGGGAUUAGAUACCCCUGUAGUCCCUGUCUCUUAUAC
rnacentral:rRNA from 1 species